rnacentral:sRNA from 15 species
ACGAAUUGUCAAGAGGGUGUCAAGUGUGUGCGUGUGCGGUGUGAAAGUCAAGAAAGAUAAGUGGGGCCACGCUCAAAAGUAUGCUGUCUCUUCCCUGUAAUUCUCCCCAACUUGAAAUUUGAUUUGAAAUCCCCUGUGAUUUUGUCAACUUGAUGUUUUGUUGGCUGUUAUGCGGUAUGUGGUCUUCAGUCCCCUCUACUACCCUUGCCGCCUGCUGAGGGCAGACGACUAGGAAUGUAUCAUGUACAUGUGGGCGGGCAGUUUAUAGGGAACGUAGUGGUUUUAUGCGAAGACUAGCAAAUUUGGCUCAAUUUAGGCCGUAGUGGUGGGGUGUGGCGGCAACUGAUGCUGAUUUGAAAAUCGAUUAUGAAACCGAUAAUCAAUUCUCAGCACCGUUGCCGCCGAAGUUUUAUCACAGAUUGUGAUAAUUUUGUAGUGGGGUGUCGGAGAACCGCACUAAUUACGAUAAUAACAAUGGGGGGGGAAGAAGGGGUUAAAGAAAUGAUAUCGAAAAUUCAGAAAGUGCAGUGUUGCAACACGUAGUCAAUUGAGGAAUAGAUAAAGAGAAAAGGUAAACAAUGCAUGUGCUUUGCGUGGAAAAUAAGUGGAAAUACACUAAAUAAAUAGAGACAAGCACUUGCAGUAAUAACAAUACAGACGAGACAAUACAGCUACAGGGAAGACUAGAAGCAUCGGCCGGCAUAGCAAAACACAAUGCUUGUAAAGACAUUGCGUUGCAUACCGGCCGACCCCGUCGUCCCCCCUGGUCGUCGAGAUUGGCGUCAUCCAGAGUCGUCAGAGGUAGCUGCAAUUAGCACCUCGUCGUCGUUGUGGCUUUGGCUGCCCUCUUGGAGAACCAGUGGCACUGGUCCGGCCACCAGUUGGGAGCCAGGAGUAGACGGCACACAUAGUACUGUGGCGACACGGGUCCGGCCGCCAAAGUGAAGUGGAUGUGAGUGUGUGUGUGCGUCGGCAAUUGUGGCCCUAAUGUAGAGCAAGUGGCACUGUUCCGGCCACCAGCUGUGGGCAAUGGCAGACAACGACACACAUCUACUCGAACGGCACAGGUCCGGCCGCCCAAGUGUAAUGGGUGCUUGUGUGUGUGUGUGUCUGAGUGGCUGGCGGACCAUAGGGCACUCUGAAUGCCAUGGCACUGGAUCCGGCCACCAACUAAGGACGAUGGCGUUGGCAUAACUCGAACGGCACAGGUCCGGCCGCCCAAGUGUAAUGGAUGUGUGUGUGUGUGUGUAUAUUUCCUUUUCCAGGUCCAUAGGGCACUCUGAAUGCCAUGGCACUGGAUCCGGCCACCAACUAAGGACGAUGGCGAUGGCAUUUCUCGAGCGGCGCAGGUCCGGCCGCCCAAGUGCAAUGGAUGUUUGUGUGUGUGUGAGUCUGAAUGGCUGGCGUUAAGUAUUUUGAGAGCCCUUUUUAAUCGUAUUUGUGGCUGAUAAAUUUUUCCCAUUUCCAGGACCAUAGGGCACUCUGAAUGCCAUGGCACUGGAUCUGGCCACCAGCUCAGGGCAAAAGCAGACACCUCACACAAGAUUCGAGCGGCUCGAAGCCAGCCCCCGAUUUGGAUUGGAUGUAGUUGCGUGUGUAUCUGCAUUUGGGUUUGUAAGCAAGCAUCAGCGCUCUGCAUACUGGCGGCUCUGAUCCGGCCGUCAGUUUUUGUUGUUGUGUGAGGCAGAUUUUCAUUGGUGUUUGGUCUAAUGGCUUGUUUUCU